rnacentral:lncRNA from 1 species
UAGCAGUACAUUGUGAAGAAUGAUGGAAGGAGUCAAGGCAAAGGAGCCUGUGCAAGUCACAUUCACUUUAUAGCCAUUUGGAAGAGUGACAAGAUAUGGUAGAGUUAAAGGUAUAAUGUUGAAAAGUAGUUGUUUAUCAUGUGUCAUGUGAUUAGAGGCACCUGAAUCUAUAAUCCAGGUGACAGAAUUAAUGUGAGUAAGCAAGCAAAGUUUGGAAUCAGACCUAGCAGUACAUUGUGAAGAAUGAUGGAAGGAGUCAAGGCAAAGGAGCCUGUGCAAGUCACAUUCACUUUAUAGCCAUUUGGAAGAGUGACAAGAUAUGGUAGAGUUAAAGGUAUAAUGUUGAAAAGUAGUUGUUUAUCAUGUGUCAUGUGAUUAGAGGCACCUGAAUCUAUAAUUCAGGUGACAGAAUUAUUGUGAGUAAGCAAGCAAAGUUUGGAAUCAGAAAUAGGGUUCUCAGUUAACAUAGUACCAGCAAUGUUUGCAGCAUAUAUUGAGCAGUGGAUUCCUCCAACUUGGUCUGGUGUAACAAGUUUAUCAACUGGUCAUAAUCAUGUCUGCUCAACCCUGGUAUCACAGAGCUUUGGCCAUCUAG